AGACUGCCCUUCGCGAAUCUUUUUGCGGUCUGGGCUUGCUGUACAUAACUCAAUAGCCGGAAGCCCUUACCCCAAAAAGCAUUCGCGGAGGGCGCGC
ensembl:miRNA